CCUAUCAGUAUCCUGAGUAGGGCGGGACACGUGAAAUCCCGUUUGAAUCCGCGAGGACCAUCUCGCAAGGCUAAAUACUAACCAGUGACCGAUAGUGAACCAGUACCGUGAGGGAAAGGUGAAAAGAACCCCGGGAGGGGAGUGAAAGAGAACCUGAAACCGUGUGCCUACAAGUAGUCAGAGCCCGUUAACGGGUAAUGGCGUGCCUUUUGUAGAAUGAACCGGCGAGUUGCGUUAGUCAGCAAGGUUAAGUCAGAAAAGACGGAGCCGUAGCGAAAGCGAGUCUGAAGAGGGCGAGCAGUUGGCUGACGCAGACCCGAAACCAAGUGACCUACCCAUGACCAGGUUGAAGGCGCGGUAAAACGCGCUGGAGGACCGAACCCACGUAAGUUGAAAAUUGCGGGGAUGAGUUGUGGGUAGCGGUGAAAUUCCAAACGAACUUGGAGAUAGCUGGUUCUCUCCGAAAUAGCUUUAGGGCUAGCCUCGCAAAGAGGAUGCUGGAGGUAGAGCUCUGUUUGGACUAGGGGCCCGUCAAGGGUUACUGAAUUCAGAUAAACUGCGAAUUCCAGACAUUUAUGUGCGGGAGUCAGACUGCGAGUGAUAAGAU
rnacentral:rRNA from 1 species